CGGGACGGGGUGGAGUAAUGUCUGGGAAACGUCUCGAUGGAGGGGGAUAACUACUGGAAACGGUAGCUAAUACCGCAUAACGUCGCAAGACCAAAGAGGGGGACCUUAGGGCCUCUUGCCAUCGGAUGUGCCCAGAUGGGAUUAGCUAGUAGGUGGGGUAACGGCUCACCUAGGCGACGAUCCCUAGCUGGUCUGAGAGGAUGACCAGCCACACUGGAACUGAGACACGGUCCAG
rnacentral:rRNA from 1 species